rnacentral:lncRNA from 12 species
GUUUUCUGCUUAACACCAGAAGAGAGUCUCAGAGUCUGGCUGUGAGGUUGCUGCUUCUUUUGUAUGCUGGAAUGAAACAUGAUUCUCAAACAAAGAAAAGUCUGAUUCUGUCAGGUAACGUAGAAGUUGAUUAGGAUGCUGAACUACUUAUUUGCUUUGGUAGUUA